GCAGAAUUCAGUGAAUCAUCGAAUCUUUGAACGCACCUUGCGCUCCUUUGGUAUUCCGAGGAGCAUGCCUGUUUGAGUGUCAUGGA
rnacentral:rRNA from 1 species